GGUUAAGAGCCCCUGAGUUCAAUCCCCGGUAUAAAAAAAUAAUAAAAUAUAUAUAUAUACACACACACAAUAUGUAUUUAUAUCAUACUUAUUCAUUCAUUUUUGGUACUGGGGAUUGAGCCCCAGGGGUGCUUUACC
rnacentral:miRNA from 1 species